rnacentral:rRNA from 1 species
AUUGAACGCUGGCGGCAUGCUUUACACAUGCAAGUCGAACGGUAACAGGCCGCAAGGUGCUGACGAGUGGCGAACGGGUGAGUAAUGCAUCGGAACGUGCCCAGUCGUGGGGGAUAACUGCUCGAAAGAGCAGCUAAUACCGCAUACGAUCUAUGGAUGAAAGCGGGGGACCGUAAGGCCUCGCGCGAUUGGAGCGGCCGAUGUCAGAUUAGGUAGUUGGUGGGGUAAAGGUUCACCAAGCCAACGAUCUGUAGCUGGUCUGAGAGGACGACCAGCCACACUGGGACUGAGACACGGACCAGACUCCUACGGGAGGCAGCAGUGGGGAAUUUUGGACAAUGGGGGCAACCCUGACCCAGCAAUGCCGCGUGCAGGAAGAAGGCCUUCGGGUUGUAAACUGCUUUUGUACGGAACGAAACGGUCUGGGUUAAUACCCUGGGCUAAUGACGGUACCGUAAGAAUAAGCACCGGCUAACUACGUGCCAGCCGCCGCUGUAACAC